GAUGAACGCUGGCGGCGUGCCUAAUACAUGCAAGUCGAACGCACAGCGAAAGGUGCUUGCACCUUUCAAGUGAGUGGCGAACGGGUGAGUAACACGUGGACAACCUGCCUCAAGGCUGGGGAUAACAUUUGGAAACAGAUGCUAAUACCGAAUAAAACUUAGUGUCGCAUGACACAAAGUUAAAAGGCGCUUCGGCGUCACCUAGAGAUGGAUCCGCGGUGCAUUAGUUAGUUGGUGGGGUAAAGGCCUACCAAGACAAUGAUGCAUAGCCGAUUUGGGGGACUGAUCGGCCACAUUGGGACUGAGAAACGGCCCAAACUCCUACGGGAGGCUGCAGUAGGGAAUCUUCCACAAUGGGCGAAAGCCUGAUGGAGCAACGCCGCGUGUGUGAUGAAGGCUUUCGGGUCGUAAAGCACUGUUGUAUGGGAAGAACAGCUAGAAUAGGAAAUGAUUUUAGUUUGACGGUACCAUACCAGAAAGGGACGGCUAAAUACGUGCCAGCAGCCGCCGUAA
rnacentral:rRNA from 1 species